rnacentral:rRNA from 1 species
UCCUGGCUCAGGAUGAACGCUGGCGGCGUGCCUAACACAUGCAAGUCGAACGGAGCGCCCGGACGGAGUAUUUCGGUAUGAAGACUAGGUGACUGAGUGGCGGACGGGUGAGUAACGCGUGGACAACCUGCCGUGUACAGGGGGAUAACAGCCGGAAACGGCUGCUAAUACCGCAUAUGCGCACAGUGCCGCAUGGCACAGGGCGGAAAGCCUAGAUCUUAUCUAGUACGGUACACGAUGGGUCCGCGUCUGAUUAGGUAGUUGGCGGGGUAACGGCCCACCAAGCCCACGAUCAGUAGCCGGCCUGAGAGGGCGGACGGCCACACUGGGACUGAGACACGGCCCAGACUCCUGCGGGAGGCAGCAGUGGGGAAUAUUGCACAAUGGGGGGAACCCUGAUGCAGCGACGCCGCGUGAAGGAAGAAGUAUCUCGGUAUGUAAACUUCUAUCAGCAGGGAAGAAAGAAGACGGUACCUGACUAAGAAGCCCCGGCUAACUACUUGCCAGCAGCCGCGGUAAUACGUAGGGGGCGAGCGUUAUCCGGAUUUACUGGGUGUAAAGGGAGCGUAGACGGCCAUGCAAGCUCGGUGUGAAAGGUGCGGGGCACAACUCGCAGACUGCAAUGAGAACUGUAUGACUGGAGUGCUGGAGGGGCGAGCGGAAUUCCUAGUGGAGCGGUGAAAUGCGUAGAUAUUAGGAGGGACACCGGUGGGGGAGGCGGCUCCCUUGACUGUAACCUGACGGUGAGGCUCGAAAAGCGUGGGGAGCAAACAGGAUUAAAAUACCCUGGUAGUCCACGCCCGUAAACGAUGUUUAUUAGGUGUCGGGGGGCCAAGGCCCUUCGGUGCGGGCGCAAACGCAUUAAGUAAUCCACCUGGGGAGUACGUUCGCAAGAAUGAAACUCAAAGGAAUUGACGGGGACCCGCACAAGCGGUGGAGCAUGUGGUUUAAUCCGAAGCAACGCGAAGAACCUUACCCGGCCUUGACAUCCCGAUGAAUGUACUGUAAUGUGUACAGGACUUCGGUACAUCGGAGACAGGUGGUGCAUGGUUGUCGUCAGCUCGUGUCGUGAGAUGUUGGGUUAAGUCCCGCAACGAGCGCAACCCCUGCCCUCAGUAGCCAGCAGGUAAAGCUGGGAACUCUGAGGGGACUGCCCGGGAUAACCGGGAGGAAGGCGGGGAUGACGUCAAAUCAUCAUGCCCCUUAUGGCCGGGGCUACACACGUGCUACAAUGGCGGAAACAAAGGGAGGCAGCCCCGUGAGGGUGAGCGAACCCCAAAAAUACCGCCUCAGUUCGGAUUGUAGUCUGCAACCCGACUACAUGAAGCCGGAAUCGCUAGUAAUCGCGAAUCAGAAUGUCGCGGUGAAUACGUUCCCGGGUCUUGCACACACCGCCCGUCA